rnacentral:rRNA from 1 species
CGGAUUAGCUUGUUGGUGAGGUAACGGCUCACCAAGGCGACGAUCCGUAACUGGUCUGAGAGGAUGAUCAGUCACACCGGAACUGAGACACGGUCCGGACUCCUACGGGAGGCAGCAGUGGGGAAUAUUGGACAAUGGGCGAAAGCCUGAUCCAGCAAUACCGCGUGUGUGAAGAAGGCCUUCGGGUUGUAAAGCACUUUAAGUUGGGAAGAAAAAACUUCAAUUAAUACUUGAAGUCUUGACGGUACCGACAGGAUAAGCACCGGCUAACUCUGUGCCAGCAGCCGCGGUAAUACAGAGGGUGCUAGCGUUAAUCGGAUUUACUGGGCGUAAAGCGUGCGUAGGCGGUUUGAUAAGUCGAUUGUGAAAGCCCUGGGCUCAACCUAGGAAUUGCGGUCGAUACUGUCAGACUAGAAAACGGUAGAGGGAGGUGGAACUCCAGGUGUAGCGGUGAAAUGCGUAGAUAUCUGGAAGAACACCGAUGGCGAAGGCAGCCUCCUGGGCCUGUUUUGACGCUGAGGCACGAAAGCGUGGGUAGCA